rnacentral:rRNA from 1 species
CCUACGGGGGACAGCAGUGGGGAAUAUUGGGCAAUGGGCGCAAGCCUGACCCAGCAACGCCGCGUGAAGGAAGAAGGCUUUCGGGUUGUAAACCUCUUUUCUCAGGGACGAAGCAAGUGACGGUACCUGCGGAAUAAGCCACGGCUAACUACGGGCCAGCAGCCGCGGCAAUACGUAGGUGGCAAGCGUUCUCCGGAUUUACUGGGUGUAAAGGUCGUGUAGGCGGGACUGCAAGUCAGAUGUGAAAACCACGGGCUCAACCUGUGCACUGCAUGUGAAACUGUAGUUCUUGAGUACUGGGGAGGCAGGCGGAAUUCGUGGUGUAGCGGUGAAAUGCGUAGAUAUUAGGAGGAACACCGGUGGCGAAGGCAGUCUGCUGGACAGCAACUGACGCUGAGGCGCGAAAGCGUGGGGAGCAAACAGGAUUAGAUACCCUGGUAGUC